UACGUAGGGGGCUAGCGUUGUCCGGAUUUAUUGGGCGUAAAGCGCGUGUAGGCGGCCAGAUAGGUCCGUUGUGAAAACUCGAGGCUCAACCUCGAGACGCCGGUGGAAACCAUCAGACUAGAGUCCGGAAGAGGAGAGUGGAAUUCCUGGUGUAGCGGUGAAAUGCGCAGAUAUCAGGAAGAACACCCGUGGCUAAGGCGGCUCUCUAGUACGGUACUGACGCUGAGACGCGAAAGCGUGGGGAGCGAACAGG
rnacentral:rRNA from 1 species